CUCUGAGCUGAAGAAAGCUGGUCAGCUGCUGCCCCCCUGUGGCCAGGCGGAAGAACACUUGGGUCGAGAACCCAGAGGAAGACCGAAGGAGCAUGGGAUUUGCUGGACUAUCACUCAGCAAAGUCAACAUUCUUCACACAAUGACAGCCCACCCCGUGAAAACAGACGCGACCCAGGAUCACUACACUUCUAACUCCUCCCUAGACCUUGUUCACUAUCCGGGCUUUGGUGCCAGCAGCACAUGGAGAUGAACUGGGUUGAGCACUGGUAAGCCUCCCUCGUGCUUAGCCUUCCACCACAGCUACACCUCCUGCAGCAUUUGCAGCUGAAGGAAACACCAUCUGCAGAGAUGGCCAACUCACUGGAGCCAUCCAGACUCCUUCAACUUUCUGACCCUCACCCUCUUCAGUCCAACCCCAACCCGUCGCCAAUCCCAUGGAAGCUACUUCACACAUCUAGCAUACACUCCCCGGCUUCAGCCCUCGCAGGGACAACCCCAGUGACUCCCUGACAUUUCCUAUUUUCAAGCAUCCCAAUCUAUACUCCACACUGUCGUAAAGUGACACCGUGAGGCCACCUCCCGAGUUACAGAUUUCCUGCAGCCAUUCAUAUUUUAACACGACUCGUUUACCGCGCAGCUCUCUGCCGGUACUGCAACAAUGCAUUCCUGGGAGAGGCAGGCAUCAGCUGCAGGACAUCCUCAUAAACUUUACAAAACUUACACAACUCAGGGGUAAGUUCCUUGAGGUACGACAGGCAGUAAGGGAUCCCUAAAGCAGAGCGACCUCUUCAAUAAGUAGCCGCCUGCCAGUUCCACAUAAAUUCAAUCAGGGAGCUUUCCUAUGCUGGGGUGGGACAGUUGUGACACUGCUGUCCAAGCCACCCAUGC